CUACGGGGUGCUGCAGUGGGGAAUAUUGCGCAAUGGGCGCAAGCCUGAUGCAGCCAUGCCGCGUGUAUGAAGAAGGCCUUCGGGUUGUAAAGUACUUUCAGCGGGGAGGAAGGGAGUAAAGUUAAUACCUUUGCUCAUUGACGUUACCCGCAGAAGAAGCACCGGCUAACUCCGUGCCAGCAGCCGCGGUAAUACGGAGGGUGCAAGCGUUAAUCGGAAUUACUGGGCGUAAAGCGCACGCAGGCGGUUUGUUAAGUCAGAUGUGAACUCCCCGGGCUCAACCUGGGAACUGCAUCUGAUACUGGCAAGCUUGAGUCUCGUAGAGGGGGGUAGAAUUCCAGGUGUAGCGGUGAAAUGCGUAGAGAUCUGGAGGAAUACCGGUGGCGAAGGCGGCCCCCUGGACGAAGACUGACGCUCAGGUGCGAAAGCGUGGGGAGCAAACAGGAUUAGAUACCCUCGUAGUC
rnacentral:rRNA from 1 species